rnacentral:rRNA from 1 species
CUGGCUCAGGAUGAACGCUAGCGACAGGCUAACACAUGCAAGUCGAGGGGCAGCACGGGAGUAGCAAUACAACUGGUGGCGACCGGCGCACGGGUGAGUAACGCGUAUGCAACCUACCUAUCAGGAGGGGAAUAACCCGGCGAAAGUCGGACUAAUACCGCAUAAAACAGGGGCACCGCAUGGUGAUAUUUGUUAAAGAAAUUCGCUGAUAGAUGGGCAUGCGUUCCAUUAGGUAGUUGGUGGGGUAACGGCUCACCAAGCCGACGAUGGAUAGGGGAACUGAGAGGUUGGUCCCCCACACUGGUACUGAGACACGGACCAGACUCCUACGGGAGGCAGCAGUGAGGAAUAUUGGUCAAUGGGCGGGAGCCUGAACCAGCCAAGUCGCCGUGAAGGAAGAAGGAUCUAUGGUUCGUAAACUUCUUUUGCAGGGGAAUAAAGUGCAGGACGUGUCCUGUUUUGUAUGUACCCUGAGAAUAAGGAUCGGCUAACUCCGUGCCAGCCGCAGC